CAGCCCCUCGAGUGGUGGGGAUGAUUAUUUGGCCUAAAGCGUCCGUAGCCGGCUCUGUAAAUCUCUCGUUAAAUCCAGCGUCCUAAGCGUUGGGCUGCGAGAGACACUGCCGAGCUAGAGGGUGGGAGAGGUCAGCGGUAUUCCUGGGGUAGGGGCGAAAUCCAUUGAUCCCAGGAGGACCACCAGUGGCGAAGGCUGCUGACUAGAACACGCCUGACGGUGAGGGACGAAAGCUGGGGUAGCGAAUCGGAUUAGAGACCCGAGUAGUCC
rnacentral:rRNA from 1 species